GAUCAGAUCGAGGUAUUCUGUGGGCUCAUUCAAACUACACACCACCGUUGGAGCUUUCAGCCUCGGGAGCAGGUUCCAGACUGAGGCGGAAUUAGGCGGGACCCCCUGCACCCUCUCUCCACCCCGGCUGAAUUGAUCGGGGCCAUGUCCUUGGUCAGCUAACCCGCCCCCGACCACCGAGGAAAACAUGGCAGGAUAGAUUCCCCUUGGAUUCUGCUCAUUUGGAUUUUGGAGUUUGCCCUGACUUUGUCAAUCCUCAGGCCAGAUCCAGGUAGCAGUACUCUUGAAAAUCUCCACAAGUGGAUUCAAGAGUCAACCAAACCAGGAGUGCCUACAGCUUGAAAAUUUAUGCCAGUGGAGGAAUUUGUAGCAUCUCAUGAACUCUCUUUCUAUUGAAAGGAUGCAGAAAUGCAGCACUAUUUUAACAAUUCAGUGAGAGAAAGGAACUGUCAUCAUAGCAGGGUGAUGUUGCUGGCAAACCCAGAGCUUUAUUUAUCUGGUUUUUUUUUUAACCAAUCACAUUGCCUAUAUUAAGAUUUAAACACCACUUACUGAGUUCUGAUGCCAUGGGAGGCACAGUAUUUCUCAUUGACCAUGUGAAAUGUGAAGCAAGAGAAGGGAGGAGAAUUGCCUAAACAAUUAGACUGACUAUCCAAUGGGAAGGUUGGUGUGUCUGGGUCAAGAAAGGCAA